AUUGAACGCUGGCGGCAUGCUUUACACAUGCAAGUCGAACGGCAGCGCGGGGCAACCUGGCGGCGAGUGGCGAACGGGUGAGUAAUAUAUCGGAACGUACCCAAGAGUGGGGGAUAACGUAGCGAAAGUUACGCUAAUACCGCAUACGAUCUAAGGAUGAAAGUGGGGGACCGCAAGGCCUCAUGCUCCUGGAGCGGCCGAUAUCUGAUUAGCUAGUUGGUGAGGUAAAGGACUCACCAAGGCGACGAUCAGUAGCUGGUCUGAGAGGACGACCAGCCACACUGGGACUGAGACACGGCCCAGACUCCUACGGAGGCAGCAGUGGGGAAUUUUGGACAAUGGGCGAAAGCCUGAUCCAGCAAUGCCGCGUGAGUGAAGAAGGCCU
rnacentral:rRNA from 1 species